UACGUAGGGGGCUAGCGUUGUCCGGAUUUAUUGGGCGUAAAGAGCUCGUAGGCGGCCACUCAAGUCGAAUGUGAAACCUCGAGGCUUAACCUCGAGCCUGCAUUCGAUACUGGGCGGCUAGAGUCUGGUAGGGGGAUCUGGAAUUCCUGGUGUAGCGGUGGAAUGCGCAGAUAUCAGGAGGAACACCGGUGGCGAAGGCGGGUCUCUGGGCCGAUACUGACGCUGAGGAGCGAAAGCGUGGGGAGCGAACAGG
rnacentral:rRNA from 1 species